rnacentral:lncRNA from 1 species
GAUUGACUUCUUCAGUCACAUAAUUUGGGGAGAUUUGUCAAGGUCUCACAUGAAGGAAGAUGUUCACCCUGAGGACAAGGCCCCUGCAUGCAUUCUCAGGACGUUCAUGUUUUCUUUACCCAUUCCCUUCCAUUCAAAUAGCUCUUGUCAGCGACCCAUUUUGUGAAUGGAGACAUUUCUGCUUUGAAGUCAUAAUUUAUCCUGCAAGAGCUGCUAAAAGAAGCACUUUUAAACUCAGAUCUGAGCGAAGGCUGGGAAUUGGUUGUUGCAAGUAGAAAAUGAGUCACAGAUGUACAAAGACAUUAGAAGGCUGCCUGCAACAUAGAAGCAAAAUGCUCCAGGAGGCUGACCUGAAUGACAUACAUCAGUGAACUCCUUUGGCCUCUGUCAGACCCACCAAAUCAGAAAAUCUUACACUCCUACAAGAAAUUCAUGGUAAGAUGAAAGAGCCACAUCUGGGGCUGGGCACCUGCAGGCACAGACCCAUUCACCUGCCACUUUUGCAGUAGUGUCUUUCCCUCAGCUCACACCCACAUCUCCGUGGGGGCAGGAGCCCCUAGGAUCGGCUGAUGAAGGAGGUAAAAGGCCAAACUUGGUUUACAGAGGGGUUGGCUCUUUAUAUGGGUAUAAGCAGUAUAGGGCCUGCUUACUACAGCUCUGUUCAGGGGUGGUCUGAAAGAAAGACUGAAGAGAAAUUCUUCUAACAAGCAGAGAUCUGGGAAGUGUACAUGUUUAUCCACUUCGUGUGCAAAGAGAAGUGGUGUACAGUAAGAACACAUGUGGGCUCAUUGUCAGUAAAAAAAAAAUGGCUUGUCCAGUUAACCAGAGCCAGGAAGGAGAAAGUUUGGAGGAUUAGGGUUGAAGAGACCUAGGGAAGAAGUGCGUGAAAGCCUCUUUGAGAGAGAUAAUGUGUGACAAGGUUUGUAUCAAAUAUUAAUGCUCAACAGAGAGUAUCUUCCAGGGAAAAGGCACUACAACCCAGUAGGCAAAAGGACCCAGCCAGUUGACAUCAGUCAUUGGUCACUCUGAUGCUAACAAAUGGACCUCACACCAUGGCAGCAGAGAUGGAAGCUAUGCAUAGAUCCAACAGCAUGGGCGCCCUCUUACUAAGACUGAUCUGCCACCCUGUAUGUCCAGCCUUGUAGGAACAUAGACCAAUACUGAGCCACUGAUUCAGCACAUCCUCUGUGGAGACCAACCAGCCACUUGGUGGCAAGAGAUUACAUUGGAACCCUCUCAUCUCAGAAGGAGCAGUGCUUCGUGUUGACUGAAUCAACAUGUGCACCAGAUACAAGACUCCCUUUUCUGCCUGGAAUAAUCUGCCAGUAUGACUCUCAAAAGGCUUAACUCACGGACAUAGGAUCCCAUGUAGCACUGCAUUGGAUUGAGAGAUAGAGAACUCAGUUAAAAACAAGGAGGUGUGGCAGUGGGCCCUUGACUAUGGUAUCCCCUGGCCUUAUCACAUCCUAUGUCACUCAGAAGUUGAGAUCUGAAAGAGUGAAAAAAAAGCUGCUUACUAGCCACUGAGGACCCAGCUUGGAGAUGAUAAGCUGUGAAGAUGGGCGCUGUUCUCCAGACAUAAUAUAUAUGUCCUAAAUCAACAACCUUUCCCUAGAGCUGUGUCCCCAGUAGAUAGCAAGUGCGAGUCUGGAAAUCAAAGAGUAGAAAUAGGCAUAGCUCGGCUUAUAUCACUUCAAGUGACCAAUGUAGGGAAUUUAUGCUUCUUACUACACUCCCAGGCUUUUGUGGUUUAGAAGUCCUAGUUUCUAAAGGGAGAACAUUUCCACCAGGAAACUCAGCAGGAGACCCAUUAAGCUUUAAGCUAUGCUUACUGAAUGUCGCUCAUGCCAAAGCCUAUCAGAAAAGGGAAAUAGCCUUCAUCCCAGCAGGAGUAAUGGGCCCUGAUGAUCAGGAGGAGGUGGGGCUGCUGUUACUCCCUGGGAUUCUCUUGGAACCCUCUUGCCUAAUUUCAACAAAAAAUGGACAAAUGCAGUGGUCAUGGCCUGAGAAAGGCUCAGAUCUUACUGUUGAAGGUGGAGGUGUCCCCAACAGGUAAGCCUCUUAGACCAUCAGAGGUGUUAGCCAAGGGUGAGGAGAAUCUAGAAUGAGUAGGGGAGGAGAGAAAUGAUGUGUGUAGUUACCUUGAAACUGCAGCAUGGGAGUUGGGGGGGUUCUGGGGCUAUAAUUCCUGUCACUGGCCUUCCUCUUGUUAAGUUUACCUAGGAAAACAGGCCAGCGAGAAUCUUGGAGGGGCUGUUCCCAAGUUUUGCUAUAAAAUGAAAGUGAAUCCAAGUGGCCUGGGGCUGAAUCUGAGUUCAUGCUGUGGGCACUGCCCAGAUGCCUUGUCAGAGCUAAGAUCAUUCUCCCAGCUACUGAGAGUGUGGGUAACCUGUGAUGCUUAGCUGAGUCCCUCUCCAGGAAUUGCCUUUAGCAAAAAAUGAGCCACCUCUCUUCACCCAGACCACACUCCCCUCCCCAGGGAAUGUACAGCCCAAUUCAGUGUGUGGUCAGUGCAGAAGCAGAAAGGCUCAAUUUGCCUGCAUCUAGUGAGACAUCUAGGAGGGUUCAUCCUACUCCCUGAACUCCCCAUGGGGUUGACUGAGGCCUUCGUCACAACUUCAUUGCAGUUCAUACCUCCCUUUGCCCCAUCCCACUUCUUUCAUUCUGCAUGGGCAUCGAUCUUGAUCGAGGCCACUCCCCAGAACACUCCCUGCCUGCAUGUCUCUCUCAGGAGUCUGCUGCCUGGGGGUUGGAUUUAAGACACAUGCUGGUCUUCCCCUAGGAGUAAUUUCCCUGUCCACACUUUUGAUCAAAUUUCCUUGAAUUAUCUUAAUUUGAGUGUGCCCUCUGAAUUUUGAUGGGAUCUGGACUGACGGGGCAGGGUAUUGGGCUAGGGACAUGACUGGCAGGUAAGUCUGCCUAAUUCUGAGGCUCAGUAUUAGUAGGACUCUUUACUGACACAUGGAAUUUGUAUUCUCAAACGUACCAAAAUCAGCUUACUAAAGAUAUUUUGGUCUCCACCUUAAUUCUUUGUUUGUUAAAAGUAAUGGCAAAAACCACAAUUCCUUUUGUACCGACCUAAUCAACUAUUCAGAACCUGAAUGGAAGCCACUCCUUGGUGGUUCCCUUAGAAACCUCAGCCCCAUCCAGAGCCCUUGUAUCAGAUUUGGAUGGAAAGGGCAUGUGUUUAGCCCGUUCAAGGGUGACUUUUAGACAGUCCUCUCUCUCUCUCUGUGUGUGUGUGUGUGUGUGUGUGUGUGUGUGUGUGUGUGUGUGUGUAGGUUCAGCCUUUUCUCACUAAGACAGUUAUUUUCACCCAUAGGCAGGCACCCUGAUGGGAGAGGCAGGAUGAAUGGAUCUCUUUGAUACUCAAAGUUUUUUAAGCCAUUGAUGUGUUAUGUGUCUAAAAUAAUAUUCUUUUUUGAAAAAUUAUUGUUUCAUGAUAUGAUUAAUAAAUUAUUUUCUUUGUUAAAUAUCGAUUAAAAAUUAUAUUAAUAAUUAUGUUAAUAAUUAAGAAUUAUAGAUAAGGAUAAAAUUCCUUUUGACUGUUACAGCAGUCCACUCCCAAGAGAAUAAACUGUUACCUUCCAGACCUUUUCAAAAUUGACAGGAUCUAUUUAAAGUCCUGUAUUUUAUUUGACCAGAAAAUUCUAUUUUUCAGAUGUUACAUUUAAGAAAACUUCUUGAAUGUACAUGACAAAGAAUGAACAAGCAUAUUUAUUGCAACAUUGUUUAUAAUAGCAAUAAAGGUAAGCAACUUAAUAGGGGACUAAAUAAAUUGUGGUAUAUUUUUACAAUGACAGAGUAUACAGUAGUAAAAACAGUGAGGUGGAGCCCUAAGUGCUAACUUGGAAAAAGCUUCAGGAAAUAUCACUGAGUGAAAAAGGAGAUUGCAGAAUGAUAAAUGUAAUGUGAUGCAUUUUAUCAGGGCUAUUUAGGAAAAUUAUGGCCUAAUAGAAAUGACCUGGGCUGAGUGAGAGGAGCAGAAAUGGGGAGAGUGAUUAUUGCCCCUCGCUUGCUUUGCCUCCUUUAGCCAUUUCUUCCUGUUCUCUCAAUCAUUCUUUCCCCUCUUUCACUCCACAUUCUUUCCUUUCUUCAUCACUUCUUUUCAUAGUUAAAAUUGAAGCCAAGUCUACCCUCUAGGAAUUGUAUGUGUUUGUGCUCAUUAACAACCAGUUGAACUCUGUUGAUUAGCAAUAUGGUCAAUCCAAACUGGUUGUUAAAGUGUCAAAAUAAAUGGAUCCAAUACCUGCACCCGGGCUCACAUGAUCUCGUUGAUGAAUAAUUAAUAUAGCCUCAAUAUGAUGCAUUAUAUGGAAACCUGCCUGCUUUGGCUACUGUGAAAGCUUAAAAAUAAACCAACCACUUGACAAAGUUACAAAAAAAUAUAUAAAAAAGAAAUUUGCAGUAUGGGUUGAAUGAAUAAUAAAUAUAUAGUGUUUGCAUUAAAGAAAGUACCAGUGGCAUUGUACUUUGUGUUAUUAUUAGAGUGUGUAGAUUAUUUGAUUUGAAGAAU